rnacentral:rRNA from 1 species
UACGUAGGGGGCAAGCGUUGUCCGGAUUUAUUGGGCGUAAAGAGCGUGUAGGCGGCCAGUUAGGUCCGUUGUGAAAACUCGAGGCUCAACCUCGAGACGCCGAUGGAAACCAACUGGCUAGAGUCCGGAAGAGGAGAGUGGAAUUCCCGGUGUAGCGGUGAAAUGCGUAGAGAUCGGGAGGAAGGCCGGUGGCGAAGGCGGCAUCCUGGACCGGCAUUGACGCUGAGGCGCGAAAGCUAGGGGAGCAAACGGG